rnacentral:rRNA from 1 species
GACGAACGCUGGCGGCGUGCUUAACACAUGCAAGUCGAACGGGAGUAUUGAAGAAGCUUGCUUUAGAGAUACGUUUAGUGGCGGACGGGUGAGUAACGCGUGAGGAGCUGUCCUAUGCAGGGGGACAACAGCUGGAAACGGCUGCUAAUACCCCAUAAGCCGAGAGGUAAAAGGAUCAAUCCGGCAGAGGAGGUACUCGCGUCCUAUCAGCUAGUAGGUGAGGUAACGGCUCACCUAGGCGAAGACGGGUAGCCGGCCUGAGAGGGCGAACGGCCACACUGGAACUGAGAUACGGUCCAGACUCCUACGGGAGGCAGCAGUGGGGAAUAUUGGGCAAUGGGGGAAACCCUGACCCAGCGACGCCGCGUGGGUGAAGAAAUCCUUCGGGAUGUAAAGCCCUGUUGUAUGGGAAGAGCGGAAGACGGUACCAUACGAGGAAGCCCCGGCAAACUACGUG